rnacentral:lncRNA from 1 species
AUGUUUAGUCGAGCACCAGGAUCAUGAAGCCCAAGAGCGAGAAGCCAGACAAGUUCAAGUCCGGUAUCUCCCAGGCUCUUCUGGAGCUGGAGAUUAACUCACACCUCAAGGUUCAGUUCAGGGAGCUGAAUAUUACAGCAGCCAAGGAAACUGAAGAUGGUGGUGGUGGGAAAGCUAUCAUAAUUUUUGUUCCCUUUCCUCAACUGAAAUCUUUCCAGAAAAUCCAAGUCUGGCUAGUACGUGAAUUGGAGAAAAAGUUUGGGGGAAGCAUGUUGUCUUUAUUGCUCAGAGGAGAAUUCUGCCUAAGCCAACCCGAAAAAGCUGUACAAAAAAUAAGCAAAAGCAUCCCAGGAGCCGUACCCUGAAAGCCAUGCAUGACUCAAUCCCCGAGGACUUGGUCUUCCCAAGUGAAAUUGUGGGCAAGAGAAUCCACGUGAAACUGGAUGGCAGCCGUCUCAUAAAGGCUCAUUUGGACAAAGCGCAGCAAAACAAUGUGGAACGCAACGUUGAAACUUUUUCUGGUGUCUACAUGAAGCUCACAGGCAAGGAUAUAAAUGUUGAAUUCCCAGAGUUUCAACUCU